UACGUAGGGUGCGAGCGUUAGUCGGAAUUACUGGGCGUAAAGUGUGCGCAGGCGGCCGCGCAAGUCGAGUGUGAAAUCCCCGAGCUUAACUUGGGAAUUGCGCUCGAAACUACGUGGCUGGAGUGUGGCAGAGGAAGGUGGAAUUCCACGUGUAGCGGUGAAAUGCGUAGAGAUGUGGAGGAACACCGAUGGCGAAGGCGGUUCUCUGGGCCUUACCUGACGCUGAGGAGCGAAAGCGUGGGGAGCGAACAGG
rnacentral:rRNA from 1 species